UGAUGACGAGACGCUAAGGCGUUGAAGCAGUGUAUGUCAGACUUCCAAGAAAAGCUCGCAAUGUCACAAAUAGAAAAUGCCUGUACCAUAACCGACACAGGUGGGUAGGUAGAGUAUACUAAGGGGCGCGAGAUAACUCUCUCUAAGGAACUCGGCAAAAUGACUCCGUAACUUCGGGAGAAGGAGUGCCUUAUUUAUAAGGUUGCAAUAACAAGAUCCAAGCAACUGUUUAUCAAAAACACAGGUCUCCGCUAAGUCGUAAGACGAUGUAUGGGGGCUGACGCCUGCCCAGUGCCAGAAGGUUAAAGAAGUUGGUUAGUGUAUGCGAAGCUGAUGACUGAAGCCCUGGUGAACGGCGGCCGUAACGAUAACGGUCCUAAGGUAUCGAAAUUCCUUGUCGGGUAAGUUCCGACCCGCACGAAAGGCGUAAUGAUUUGGAUACUGUCUCGGAGAGAGGCUCGGUGAAAUAGACUUGUCUGUGAAGAUGCGGACUACCUGCACCAGGACAGAAAGACCCUAUGAAGCUUUACUGUAACUUGAAAUUGGAAUUGGACUUUGCUUGCGCAGUAUAGGUGGGAAGCGUUGAAAAUAUUCUUGCGGGAGUAUUGGAGCUAUCAGUGAGAUACCACUCUUGUAAUGUUAGAUUUCUAACUUUGAACCAUAAUCUGGUCAAAGAACAGUUUCAGGUGGGCAGUUUGACUGGGGCGGUCGCCUCCCAAAUGGUAACGGAGGCGUACAAAGGUUUCCUCUGAACGGAUAGAAAUCGUAUCUAGAGUGUAAAGGCAUAAGGAAGCUUGACUGUGAGACCUACAAGUCGAGCAGGGACGAAAGUCGGUCUUAGUGAUCUGACGGUACUGAGUGGAAAGGCCGUCACUCAACGGAUAAAAGUUACUCUAGGGAUAACAGGCUGAUCUCCCCCAAGAGUUCACAUCGACGGGGAGGUUUGGCACCUCGAUGUCGGCUCAUCGCAUCCUGGGGCGGUAGUACGUCCCAAGGGUUGGGCUGUUCGCCCAUGAAAGCGGUACGCGAGCUGGGUUCAGAACGUCGUGAGACAGUUCGGUCCAUAUCCGGUGUAGGCGCUAGAAUAUUGAGAGGAGCCUUCUUUAGUACGAGAGGACCGAGAAGGACACACCGCUGGUGUACCAGUUAUCGUGCCAACGGUAAACGCUGGGUAGCUAUGUGUGGAGUGGAUAACCGCUGAAAGCAUCUAAGUGGGAAGCCCACCUCGAGAUGAGUAUUCUCGUGUAAGGUCACGGGAAGACGACCCGUAAAUAGGCACGAGGUGGAAGUGCAGAGAUGUAUGAAGCCGAAGUGUACUAAUAGACCGUCGGCUUGACC
rnacentral:rRNA from 1 species